UUUAAAUUGGCGUGGUAUUUUGACUAUACGAAGGUAUUGAAAUAAGGCUUUAAUUGGGUGCUAAGAGAAUGGUUUAACAGGGAUUAUCUUUUUUCUUAAUUUAAUUGGAAGUUAAUUUGAAAGUGAAGAAGCUUUUAUGAGGAUUUGGGACAAGAAGACCCUAUGAAUUUUUUAGAAGGUUAUUUUUUGUAUUUGUUUGGAAGGUGAGAUUUGAGUGACCUUUGAUUAAUUGGGGCGAUUUUUAAAUUUAGGUAACUUUAAAAGUAUUUCAUUGGAUCCAGUAUUAUUGAUAGAUUGAAUAAAAUACUCUAGGGAUAACAGCGUUAUUACUUUGGAUAGUUCAUAUAGAUAAAGUAGAUUGCGACCCUCGAUGUUGGAUUAGGAUACCUUUACCUAAUGGAGAAGUUGUAAUAGGGGGUUUGCUCAACCUUUAAAUUCCUACAUGAUCUGAGU
rnacentral:rRNA from 1 species